rnacentral:rRNA from 1 species
GAUGAACGCUGGCGGCGUGCCUAACACAUGCAAGUCGAGCGGCAGCGAGGGGUGCUUGCACUCUGUCGGCGAGCGGCGGACGGCUGAGUAACGCGUGGGAACGUGCCCCAAAGUGAGGAAUAACUGCCCGAAAGGGUAGCUAAUACCGCAUAUUAUCUUCGGAUCAAAGGAUUCAUCCGCUUUGGGAGCGGCUCGCGUCGGAUUAGGUAGUUGGCGAGGUAAUGGCUCACCAAGCCGACGAUCCGUAGCUGGUCUGAGAGGAUGACCAGCCAGACUGGAACUGAGACACGGUCCAGACUCCUACGGGAGGCAGCAGUGAGGAAUCUUCCACAAUGGGCGAAAGCCUGAUGGAGCAACGCCGCGUGCAGGACGAAGGCCUUCGGGUUGUAAACUGCUUUUAUAAGUGAGGAAUAUGACGGUAACUUAUGAAUAAGGAUCGGCUAACUACGUG